rnacentral:rRNA from 1 species
CCCCUAGAUGUUCUGGGCCGCACGCGCGCUACACUGAACAGUUCAACAAGUCUUAACCUUGGCCGAUAGGUCUGGGUAAUCUUUGAACGCUGUUCGUGAUUGGGAUAGACCUUUGCAAUUAUGGGUCUUCAACGAGGAAUUCCUAGUAAACGCAAGUCAUCAGCUUGCAUUGAUUACGUCCCUGCCCUUUGUACACACCGCCCGUCGCACCUACCGAUUGAAUGGUCCGGUGAAAUCUUCGGAUAGCUGGUAGUUGGCUUGCCAUCUACUGCUAAAAGUUGCUUAAACCUUAUCAUCUAGAGGAACAAGAAGUCGUAACA